UUCGUUUUUCAAAUUUUAACAGUGUUUACACAUUCUUUUGCAUUCUCUUGUCUGGAAAUAAUGCCAAUGUACCUUGUUUUUAAUCCAAAUAAAAUUCACAUUUUUCUUUUCUUGUCACAAUAGCCAGCGUUUUUAGUACAAUGUUGAAUAAAAGUAAAGAUGGUAUAUAUCCUUCCUUCAUUCUUUAGCUGAGAGAGGCUUUUCAACAUUAAGUAUGACUUGUGAUGUUUGUUCAAUUCAUUCAUUCAUUCAUUCAUUGUAAAUGCUCUUUACCAGAUUAAAGGAAUCCCCCACUCUCCUAGUUUGCUCAAAACUUUUAAUGUAAAUAAAUUUGAGUGUUUCCAAAUGUUUGUAGAAUAUCUAGUUUGAAGAUUAUAUUAUUUUUUCUUUUGUUA
rnacentral:lncRNA from 1 species